AGGAUAAACUUGCUGCAAUCACGGAGAGGCUCAAGAAAUGGUCUCCAAGAUCUGCUCCAGAAGUUGUUAGAGAUGUCAUGGGAAAUCAUUAACCUAAACUGCAUUUGUGGAUCAUAUGAUCAUAUGAAUUGGGUCAAGUGCAAGGGCUGGCAGUGGAGAGUUCCAUAUAUAUCGGCAUCCAACUGCUGCAUGAAGAGAGAAUGAAGAGAAACAGAUGCUGAAUAGUGAAGAUAAACUUGAUUAUUUCAGAAAUGAAAGAUGUACAGAUACUGAAAAUUCCACAGAAUCCAGUGAUAAAACAGAUUUAGAAGACCAAUGACUUCAAUGUAGAACAAUGUAUUCUCCAGCUUCAACACCAUGGACUUUACAUUUUCCAUUAAAGGCGUUAUUUUUCGAUGUGUUCAUAUUUCGUGCCUUCAGUGUUACGUUGACUUCUUGUUUUUGAAUCUGAGCACAACAUGGAACAGUACGUAAUUAUUAUUAUCUUUUUUAAAUUUUGUAAUGAUGAAAACAAAGGACAGAGUGUCAUCAAACUAAUACAAAGUUUUACUGUAAGUAAAGAUGUGUCUGAUUCUCAGGAGCAUUGGGCACAGAUACAUCACUGUAUGCUCAGCCUUAAGCAUUUUAGCAGCAGUUUAUAAACAUUAAAAAGAACAGAAAGAAAAGAAACCCUUUCAAAGUGAUAACACUUUAUCAUCAUUUAUUUUGAAAUCAUCUGUAAGUUAUGGAGAGCAUUACGAAAAGGUUAAAGAAUAAAAAUACAAUCAGAGAGCCCUGAUUACAUACAAUCUAAUAUCACUUGAUAUAUUAAAGAACCAAUAAUGCCAUGAAGUGAUUUUUUAUAACAUUCAAAGUUUGUAUACGUUUAGUCAGCACCUAAAAAUAAACUAUGUCCUGCCAACAAAUGUUACUUUAUAAUUUA